rnacentral:lncRNA from 10 species
CGCCUGGGUUAUUUUUAAAUUUUUUGUAGAGAUGGGGGUGGCGGGGUCUCCCUAUGUUGCCCAGGCUGGCCUCCAUCUCCUGGGCUCAAACACUCCUCCCUUCUCGGCCUCCAAAAGCUCUGGGAUUACAGACAUGAACCAGUGUGCCCAGCCCCCUCCCAUUUUCCAGGGAGCCUGCUGCCGCCCAGCCUCCCUGGAGCUUGCUGUGCUGUUCAGGAGCAGGUACCUCAUAGCCUAUGGAAUGUUCUAGAAACGAGGCUGGCAUAUGUGUGAAGUUAGCU